rnacentral:lncRNA from 1 species
UUGAAAGUAAAACAGAUUCGGCAAGCAAAACAAAACUGAACCAGAUACUCACAUACAAAGCCAGGUAGUCACACACAAAGCACACAAUACUCAAAAUAAGGACAGAGUUACCCUCCUUCUUCGCGACCGGAGAUGAUCGGCCUUCAAAAUAUUAGAGAAAACCCUAGGUCCAACAGCGGAAACCCUAGGUUCUGAAAAUUGCCGGAGUAAGGUCAUAGACGUCGGAAAAUCACCCAAAACGUCCAUCAAGCGAAGGAAAAAGUCAUCGGAUAACACCAAAACUCCAGGUCCGAAAGUCGGAAAAUCCUAGAAUUUGAAGAACUCGUCGGAACAAGGUCAGAGAUGCCGGAAAAUAACCCACAACAUCUACCGAUACAUGAUCGGAGCCUCAAACAGACAUAACAGUCCCGAUUAAUCGAUUAACAAUCAUCGAAAAAAAUAUUUUCCUCAGAUGAUCGAAGAAAAAACUUCAGCGAAAGCUUCAUCAAGCGUCGAUAACACGUAACAAAGAAGAAUCGGAAAAUUUCCUGCUCUGAUACCAUGAAAACAUGGAGUUUUGAAGAAGGAAACCAGAGAAAUGAAGAUGAACAGUGAGGAGCAGAGAGAGAGAUGAGAAGCUUCUGGAGGAAACCUGAGAAGCAAAAUGAAAUCCUCAAAUAAAAAUAUCUGAUACAUGACCAUAUAUACACCUAACAUUGGGUCGGGUCAGACGGCCCAAUGACAAAAAUAAAAUGGGGCUCAGAUACAUGUUUAACCCAAACAACAAAUCAAUCAUCAUAGCUCACUCCCACCUACACAAUGUAUACUAUAAAAUACAAUAAAUAUACAACGUAUAUUUAUGUUCCCAAACAACAAAUCAAUCAUCAUAGACUCCCACCUAUACAAUGUAUACCAGAAAAUAUAAUAAAUAUACAACGUAUAUACAGUGUAUACAAUCAUGUAAGCUCUUUC